GCAGACAAAGUUCAAACCAUUGAAAACCUUUUUCGUUGUGAUCAAUAAUGUUUAACUUUUGUGAAUUUUCUCCCGAUAUUACCGCAAAAAGUUAAGUGUUUCUAUUACAAGAGCUCGAUCAGCUCUCGGUGUCAGAUGAAAUAUGUAGCGUUCUUCCGUUUUCCUAAAUUAGAAGAUUUAGGAAGUAGGUGGUUAACUUUUUGUAAUCUUCCUAUUGAGACUGUAGUUCCAGAAAAAGCCAGGCUGUGCAGCUUGCAUUUUGAUGAGCAUCAUGUAUAUUUAUCUCCGGCUGGUAAGAUUCUAAAAACGAGCAAGGCCGUUCCUAUAUUUGAAAAUGUUCCGCAACUAUGCUCUGAAGGGCGAAUGAACAAAACAGACUCUUUGGAAAUGGUAAAGGAGAACAUUGUUCCGGGCGAUUCUGAUACCGUUGUCAAUUGCAAAAAUUGCACAGAUAACAUAAGUUCAUUACAAGAGAACCAGUCAUUAAAACGAAAGCUGAAAGAUGUGGGAACUGUUAUGAACCCCGACCAGUUUCAGUUGAUCACAGAGAAUAUUAAAAAAAACAAACGAUGGUCUGAUCAGAGCAUUACGGAAGGUCUGCGAUGUAAAUUCUCGUGUGGCUCAACGGCGUACGAAACAGAGAGAAAGAAAUGAUUCUUGCCUAGUGGACGUACACUACAAGAACGUCUGCAGAAUAUACAUUUCGAGUGCGGUGUACUCGAAGAAGUUUUUGUUUUACUUGAGCAUAAAGUACCAAGAAUGAAGGAUACUGAUAAAAAUUGUAUGAUAAUUUUUGAUGAAAUGGCCAUUCAACCAGAGGUUAACUAUUGUAAUAACUUAAAAAAAAGAUUGUUGGACACAUUACGCUUCUUAAUCAUAGUGGAGUAGCAAACCAUGUGAUGGUUUUUAUGUUGGCAGGGCUUAGGGUUCGAUGGAAGCAAGUAGUAGCAUACUACUACACUGGGGAUUCAAUCAACAAUGGUUGUUUGAAAUCUAUUUUGUUUGAUGUCAUUCGGAGAACUGAGUCUACGGGUUUGCGUGUGCAUGCAGUUGUUAGUGAUUGCGGGGGCAAUAAUAAAAAACUGUGGAACGACUGUGGAAUCCAACAUACCAGUGAGAAUGUGCUUUUUAAUAAACCCAUCGAGCACCCCUGUGACAUAUCUCGUACUCUUGAGAUUAUGCCUGAUAGCGUACACGUUAUGAAAAGUAUGGUCCAAGGUUGGAUCGCCAAUGGUACACUCAAAAUAAUUUUCACGUCAUAAUUACCGGAUAAGUUAUGUGAAUAUUUUCCACUAUCAUUUUCACGUAGAUUCUACGUGAUUGUCAUUUGAGUUCAUCAUGAUCUGGUGAUAUGAUUUAUCCUAUGAAUUUUAUACAGCAGACAUAUUCAUUUUAUGUGAAUUUCACGUAAAAUUCAACUACCUGUAAAAUGGAAAGCAUUCGAUUAUCUGCUAGCUACUACGUUUGAUACAACGUAAAAUUUCCAAAUUUUGUUUCCCCAAUUAAAAGACGGCAAAUAGUUUUUAGAAACUAUAGAAAUAUGUUGCUUGAUAAAUCGCACGGCCAUGCAAAAUCGCCGAUUCUUAAAUGAAUCAAACGACAUAAAAACGGACAAAUAUUACGACAUUUGCCGGCGAUAACUAUUGUAAGCUGCAACUGUUUAUGUAUGGGAAACUCCUCGACCUUUGAACUAAAUCUGUGUGAAACCUGUAAGCUCGAGGCUUGAUGUCAAAUUCGUACGGUUUUUCGAAAGCUCACUUAUUGACAAGCCGUCGAGAAAUUCUAUUUUAUUGUCAGAGACUGAGUUAGACAACAGCUUCGCCAUUUUGAUUUCUGUGUAUUUUCACGUAAAGAGUUCACGCGAUACUUCUUCUAUGACAUUCUGUUUGACGUUGCCAAGUUACUACGUGAUAAAACAUAGUAUGCAUGUGAUUUUCACGUAGAUGUUAUGUUUGUCACAUAAAUCAUGCAAAAUGACAGAAAAUGAAUAAGUACAGGAAAUUUCACGUAACAAUAAUGUGAAAAAUAUUUUGAGUGUACAAUCCAGAUUGAUCAGAUUACUAUGGAAUCCAAUGGACUUUAUACGUCUACUGCUGAUAUUAAUCAUUUGAAAGAGCUUGCAAUGUUUGAGAAGGGCUGUGAUCUACGAAUGGCAUGUGGGUUAAGGAUGGAAGAUGUGGAUUUUUCAAAAAAAGCCUCGAGCUUCGACAAAAUGAAGGUCAUUAACUCUACAAAGUACGCUAAUCAUGGUGUGGCGGCUGCUUUAAGAAUAUUCGGAGCAGAAACUGGACGGAAAGAUGUUUUAACAACUGCUUUUUUGAUUGACCAAAUUGCAAACUGGUUAACAUACAUGAUGAUAAAACUCUACUCACCAAGCUCAGAGACUAUACCGAAGAUGCAUUGGUAUACGUAAACAUAGAUACUUAUAAUUUUCUAACGGAGCUAGAGGAAAUAUUCAAAGGGAACAUUGAACAACUCAAAAUAUCCAAUUCAAAUCUGGACCAAAAACUUUUCGAGCUAAUGUCAGAUGUUCCAGCGGCUCACAUGUCAAAAUGCCACAAUAUCAGAGAAAAAAUUAUUCGCAAAUAUAUUCUGUUUCGUUUGCGAAUCAGCCGGGAAUAUUUUUCUCGUGAUAGGCGUCACGACAGUAGGUCAAUGGCAGUUUAAAAUGCAAUAAGUUUUUGCAAUUAGUCUUUUAUUUUUUUAUCCAGAACAUCAGAUUAUGGUAAAAAUUUAGUAUGUGUGAUUUACUGUCUCUUAUAUAGCCUCUGCAUCAAUUUUGAAAUGGUUGAAAUUAUUUCGAUAAUUUUUAGCACACCGCAGUCUCAAUACUUCCCCCAAGUUUUAACUUUUCUUAACUGUCAUGUUCGAUUGGCUCCGGUUCGAUUGGCUCCGAUACCUGAGUCCGCCAGACUGUAAAUAUAGGGACUGUACGUGAGACUUAUCGUUUCGAUUACUAAAAUCGAUUUUGAUUAUCGAUUACAUUGAUGAUGCCGUGACUUACAGGACUUACACCAAUACUUUUAUUUUAUUUUAUUACUUCACUAAGAUCACUAAGAAUGGUAUGAGAAAAGCGUUUAGUGUAUGUUGACUGUUUUCAAAUACAAAAUAAGAGCUGAUAUCGUUUCGUGAAGGUGCAGAGUACACGAAUCGAUAAAUGUGCUGUGUACAAUCGCAAAGAUGCUUUCAAUAAAGUACAUCGAUACCAGAUAUAAUGUCUGGAAAGGCAGAAUCGAUUUUUUACAUCGAUUGAUGCAGGUCGCAGUCAUCGACGUUUAUCUGUUUACUUUUUUUCAGUUGAACGAGAUAGUUUAAGUGAAUUUGGAUAGGAGUCUAAUAUAGGAUUUAUCUGAAGCAGCUCAUUAAUAUUUUGCUCAUCACCCGUGUGUUUUGACCGUUUUGACAGAUACGAUGUAAUAGUAUUGGUGAACCCACUCGCAAAACUGACAAAAAUCACAGUGCGAACAUGUCUGUUUUGCAGGCGCUUCCAGGUCAAAACUGGGUCAAUGUCGAGCGAAUAAAAAAGGGUUUUGACAGCAGUUAGUGCGCUUCCAGGUCGAAACGAGGUGAGCUGGUGGAAUAAAGAAAUUCGCUAUUAGAAACAUACUUCUUUUUUUUUUUUUUGUUCACACAACAUAUAUUUGACACGGCACAAUACAAAUUAAUGUUUUACGGAGCCAAUUAAAUCUAAUGCCUUAUGGUCUAGAAUAUCUUAUAAUCUAAAGGCAAAAUUCUUUACCCUCGCUGCCGACUACGAGCUGAAACUAAAUCUAGCUUGAGCUUGAGCUUGAGCUUGAUUGAUCACCACCGGUUGCCACUUCGUUACUGACCAGGAUCGAUUGGAAUUGUAAAUCGAAUUUAGUGAUUACUGCUUGGGAUUUAGCUUUUCGAUGUGCAUCUCCAAUAACCCCUGCAUGCUGAUCAGUACCGACGCCUGCCGGUCCAGAACGUAGAUCAAAGGAAGGAAGGAAAGGGGUGUUCGAUACUUGUUGUUACUAGAGGCCGGAUAUACUCCUGCACACUCCACAAGCACCACGGGUAUAGGAAUUUUGUGUUAGUUGUCUGUCGCGUUUCUUCUCUACAUACGAUAAAACUCUUGGCGGUAUUUAUGGGCACUCGCGAACCUAUCUUUUAUGUAUCUAAAGCAGGUAUUAGACGAAGCAAAUAUUUGCUGUUCCUCAAUACAGAUUUUAUUUUGUGCAAAUAAAAAUCGCACCAAAAACAGCAAAUAUUUGCGUCGUCUAAUACCUACUUAAGACGUUUUGUUUCAUUGAUUGAGGAUUUUAGGAGUACGACGGGAAUAACGAGUAUUGUACUAAUAGAGGAACUGACCGACUCUUCCAAUUUUGAACCCGACGUGCACGCACUUUCCCGAGGUUAGUGGUGCGAUCUUCGAUAUAUGAACUCACGAAAGCACGCCAGGUGCCAACAUGUUUGAAACCUUAUCAUAUUUGCAGUGACGGGAUACAAGCGAAUCGUGGAGGUUAAGUAAUUUCGGUUACCUUAUGUAUCGUACGACUCUACGCGUUUCUGCUCAUGAACACCUUAAUUUACCCAUGCACGAAUCAAUGAGUAGCUUUAUUUAGUAAGAGGUUAAGCUUUAUUCGGAAACUGUAAGCCGACCGCAAUUUUAGAGGAUAUAAGAUCUACAACGCGUUUUUCUCUUGUAAUAUAAUUUUCGAGAGUUGGUGCUCAAUAGAAAACAACUCGGACGGAUUCUCUAAGACCUCCCGAACAUCUCACUGUUACACCGUGCGAUCAUUGAAAGGUUGAAAGGUAAAGCCGUCGUACUCGAAGAGGCAUACUGUGCACAACCACGAGAGUGCGCGCGAAAUCCCCAACAGACCGCCUAUUGCGAAAACAAGCUCGACGCGUUCGCUACUGUUAUGAACAAGCUAUGUCCCUCAUCUAAUCUGUAAAAUGGCAAAGUUGCAUGAAUUCGAAGCCCAUGAAACUUGUACAAAUGGAACAUAACCUAGUUCCAAAUUUAAUCACAAAACGCCGAGCUAAUCACGAUAAAGAUAAUGUCGUUGAUGUCGUCACUUCGCCAUACAUGAUUUCAGCGCAACUGAAUAACGAUUUUGUAUAGUAAUAUUUGUCAAAAGCUAGGGGAUUUGUAAGAAAAAAAAAAUUAAAAUAAAUAAAUUAACGGCAUGCCAAAUAUUACCGAUGCCGGAAGUUUUGGUGAUGUCAUUUUUAAGUAUCACAUAUCAUACGCAGAGAAAUGGCAAGUCAGUUUGAGCUAACUUUAUGACACGGUAAGUUUCAUUUGCUUUCUGUUUUUAAAUCGAAAUCGAAUUCGUAUGAUCUCUGUUUCUACACCAAUAUUAAAAGAUGUGAAAACAUUUUAAAAUUACCAAACCGAUGUUGUACAUUGGGACGUAACUUGUCAAUGGGCUUCUUUCGUAUAAUGCCCGAGUAUCCGCCAGUAGACGGCGCUCCACGCGUCCGUUUCUUUGACGCUCUUAGCUUUGAUUCUUUGAUCUUC